rnacentral:rRNA from 1 species
AUGGAGCAAAUUGCUGAAGGUCUGGAUGUAGAUGUUUCAAGUCAGGGGAAAGAAAAUUGUGGAAGAAAGCCGAAAGACAUCAAUCUAGAGCAAAUCCCUACCAUCCCACUAAACAGGAGGUCUACUAUCAGGUCAUUUGCCUGGCAACUCGGGUGCAGCCCUACGACACUCCACCGGAAGUUCAUGCUGAAGUUGAUAAAGAGGCGUACAAACUGUUUGAAGCCAGCUCUGAAUGAAAAGAACAAGAAGGAUAGAGUGAAAUUUUGCUUGUAA